CCUACGGGAGGCAGCAGUGAGGAAUAGUGGUCAAUGGGCGCGAGCCUGAACCAGCCAAGUAGCGUGAAGGAUGACUGCCCUACGGGUUGUAAACUUCUGUUAUAAAGGAAUAAAGUGAGGCACGUGUGCCUUUUUGUAUGUACUUUAUGAAUAAGGAUCGGCUAACUCCGUGCCAGCAGCCGCGGUAAUACGGAGGAACCGAGCGUUAUCCGGCUUUAGUGGGUUUAAAGGGAGCGUAGAUGGGUUGUUAAGUCAGUUGUGAAAGUUUGCGGCUCAACCGUAAAAUUGCAAUUGAUACUGGCAGUCUUGCGUACAGUUGAGGUAGGCGGAAUUCGUGUUGUAGCGG
rnacentral:rRNA from 1 species